AUUGAACGCUGGCGGAAUGCUUUACACAUGCGGAAGUCGAACGGUAGAGGGGGGCAACCCCUUGAGAGUGGUGAACGGGUGAGUAAUAUAUCGGAACGUGCCCAGUCGUGGGGAUAACGUAGCGAAAGUUACGCUAAUACCGCAUACGAUCUAAGGAUGAAAGCGGGGGGACUCGCAAGAGCCUCGCGCGAUUGGAGCGGCCGAUAUCAGAUUAGGUAGUUGGUGGGGUAAAGGCUCACCAAGCCAACGAUCUGUAGCUGGUCUGAGAGGACGACCAGCCACACUGGAACUGAGACACGGUCCAGACUCCUACGGGAGGCAGCAGUGGGGAAUUUUGGACAAUGGACGCAAGUCUGAUCCAGCCAUUCCGCGUGCAGGAUGAAGGCCCUCGGGUUGUAAACUGCUUUUGUACGGAACGAAAAGG
rnacentral:rRNA from 1 species